rnacentral:rRNA from 1 species
GUUUAGAAAGUCGUGAGACAGUUCGGUCCCUAUCUGCCGUGGGUGUUGGAGAAUUGAAAGGGGCUGCUCCUAGUACGAGAGGACCGGAGUGGACGAACCUCUGGUGUUCGGGUUGUGUCGCCAGACGCAUUGCCCGGUAGCUAAGUUCGGAAUCGAUAACCGCUGAAAGCAUCUAAGCGGGAAGCGAGCCUUGAGAUGAGUUCUCCCUGAUACUUUAAGUAUCCUAAAGGGUUGUCGUAGACUACGACGUUGAUAGGCAGGGUGUGUAAGCGUUGUGAGGCGUUGAGCUAACCUGUACUAAUUGCCCGUGAGGCUUAACCAU